GCGUAAAAAGCCUUUGUACGUGUAUGCAAUGAGUGGUUUUAAUGCAAAACGUGGGUUUAUUUUAUUUAUACACGUAACAGAGAAAGUAUGGGAGAUAAAACGUCAUGAAUUUAUAUCAUUACUAUUUAACCUGUCCUGUCUUUUUCUAAACUUCCUAGAAUAUAAUUUUUACGCUAUGAAUUUGGUAUCUAAACCCCUGCAGUAUAUAAAAUAGUAUCUCUUUGAAAAAUGUUUAGGAAAAAAAUAUUUGUUCAUGGGUAUGUCAAUCUAAAUGGAAAAGGGAGUUUCGUAAUACAUGUAAUUUAGAGUUGAAAUUUUAAAGAGAUUUGUCAAAUAUAUUCUGUUUGCAACAACUUUUUUGGUUGGUUAUUAUCAUAAAUGCUUGUUACAACUUUUUUAAAACAGAAAACCUUUAUAUAAUUGAACAAAUUAACACUUUUGUUUAGUGUGGUAAAACCGUAAAAUUAUAUUUGAAAUUGCCUUUAUAGUUAUAACUGUUGUACAUUACAAAAACAACCCGUGGUAUGCAUUUCAUCAGUGCAAUGCUAAGAGAAAUGGUCAUAUAUUGAGAUACAUUAAUGGAGGAAGAAUACCCUUGACCAAUAUCCAGAGGACCCGGAUUAACCCUGAGAUAUACCUAUUUCGGAAUCUAAAGCGAAAGGUAAAAUGGAUUGUUAUGUAAUCACGCAAUAAUUCUCUGUUCGCUAGUAACCAUGCUUGUUAUGUUGGUAAUUUAUUGAUGUAUUGAAAACUAUUUACUUUAUUAAAAACUUUUAUUGCAAUUGAUAUAUUGAGAAUGUUUGUGACAUUACAAUUAUUAUUAUUAUUUUAUAAAUAAAUCCUUUCCAAU
rnacentral:misc_RNA from 1 species